UCUUAUGGAUGAGCAAAGAAAGUAGUUUCUUGAGAUGGAAUCUACUCCUGGUGAAGAUGCUGUGAA
rnacentral:pre_miRNA from 3 species